rnacentral:lncRNA from 1 species
UGAGCUUCUCUCUGUGCAUUCAGUGCUUGAUAUUGCAAAUUCACCAUCUCAGCCAUCAGUUCCAGAAGUGCUAUCAUAGCUGGAUCGGUUGGCGCUGGUUGAGGUUGUGCUGCCGGAAUAGGUGCGGCAGGGGCCGGUGGAAUAUGAGCGGCAAGAGCUGGUGGAAUAUGAGCGGCAGGAUAUGCAGGAGAUGCAGGAGCUGCGGGAUGAUCUCCAUGCACUGGACUAUCGUGUACCACAUCCACCUCGAUGUUGAUAAAGUACGGGUCUGGAGACAAAGGAAUGUGCGCUGGUGUCUGAUCAUAUGACCCUUCAGACAGGUCAGUCUCAAAGCUAGAGCCCGAAGGUGUAGCCUCAAAGCUAGGAGUCAGAAGUGGUGCCGGAGUAGAUGGCGGCGAGGAGUCUGAAGAUGAUGAAAUAGGUAUCGGUAGAUAAUCUCCACCAUGAUGUGCCUGUCUCGGUGGCACCUGCAACAAAAGAUCAUGGUAAGUUUCUACCCAGGUCUAUCAAUUCCUAAGAAGGAACAAACCAGCAUAUCCUAAUUAUCCUUGCGACACAUUUUUGACUCGAAAUUUUUUUUUUUUUUUGAAACAAGUCCCAUUCUAGCAUCGUAUAACAAUGCUCUGAUACCACCGUUGUGACACCCCCGAUCGUAGAUAACCGGAAAUGACACGGUCGAUGUUCCCUGAUGGUCGACCCGAGGUUCUCGAAAUAAAUCUGAUCACCUUAAACCAACAACCAAAGAACACAGACACUGAUAUCGGAUAUUACUCUAGGCUUUUCAACCCGAUAAAGCAAUAUUCGAUAGUUAGUUCGUCCCG